GAAAAAUGUAUACAAGGAGUUUUAGAGCGAGGAUAGAUUAUUUUAAAUCAACCCUGUUAGCCCAGGGCAGUUGUGUAGUUAAGAUUCUGAAAUGGCACAAAGCAGAUCAAAUAUGCUAUCUAAACAGUUUACUGUUUCUGUACAGGUGUGAUGACCAGCUCAGUGACUUUUCUUGGACUUCUGUGACUAGACGGAGGGGGUCGAUCAUGGACACUUCUUAGAUAAUGUCUCUUUUAACCUUUUAACUUAUGUUGAUCUCUAAAAUGUUUUAAAAUGCCAUGUAGAAAAAUGUGUAAAAUAUUUGUACAACUGAACUGUCACUGGCUGGAGUUUUUCACUGUUUUUAAGAUGAUCUUUUGUUUUAACCGGUCAAUUUUUAUUUGUUUUGGGGUUUUUUUAUAAAAAUGGGGGGCCUUUGCAUCUAUGUUUCUUCUUUUAGGAAAGAAAUGGACACUAUUCUUUUAUUUCUGUUUGUUAGGUACUUGUGCCUUUGCAUGCUUUAGUUGCUGUGUUUUUGUUUUUGUAGACAAAAAUGUAAUAGAUGUAUUCACAUGUAAGAGUUGACCCCUGGCCCUCCAAAUAUCACAGUACUUGGUUUCAAGUAUUGUCUAUGACUCUGAAUUUGAUUUUAUGGAAGUUAUUGAAUAGGCCAAUUUUUGACCAACUUGCUCUCAAUAGACCAAUUCACUCUGACACGGACAUACUGUGAGAGGUGUGUGUCUGCUUGCAUGAAUGUGUGAGUGCCUUUAUAGUCGGUGUGUACAUAUGUAUGUACGCAUAUGCAGCUUGGUGUGUAUGACUGAAUGCAUGUGGAUAUAGAAAAACAAAGGGACUUCUUUUCAUACUUUUUUGCAGUCUGUUUUUCUGGACAGCGACUUUUUAUUUAAUGCAGCGUUGUCAUUCGGGAUUCUGUUGCAGAGGUUAACAUUCCAAAAUCAUAAUUUUUUUUAGACAAACUUUGGAAAGAGAAUUACAACUACAGCUUUGUACCUAACGACAGGACCAUAGAUCAAGUACAUGGAUGGACAAAGGGAUGUGGGUUUGUGGAAGUGCACUGUUAUGAUGUUGCAGAUAUGAUUCAUAAUGGUUUCAGGUUACAUAUCCCCCUAAACCCUCCCCCCCACCCCCAUUUCCAUUGCAGGGGGGAUAGUAGUGGACUAAUUUCCAUUAUUUUGCUAAUAAAAGAGUUGCUGUGGUGAAGCCAUGGCAUCCAAUUCCUU
ensembl:lncRNA